GUUUCUUGAAGAAAUUUGGUUUUGUUCUUCAUCUGUGAAGCUUGUUCAUGAUGAAGGAUGAGAGAAAAGAGGGGGAAAUCCAAGAAAAAGCUCUGUUUGAUCAAGAUAAGUAGAACAUGAUGAAAGCAUGAGGCUGUCUUGUCUCCAUUUUCUACUCCAUGAAUCAGUAGACUUGGACAAUAAUGGCUGCUUAACUCAGCAAGGCCAGUGCUCUUCUUCUUGAUUGAAAAACAGGCUGGCCUUUAUGAUGACAAAUUUUGUACUUCAUCUUAGCCAUAUGAUCCUUAAGACUUAAGAUUGAGAAGAAUAGUUGUAUACGUGAAGACAUUGUUAAAGCUUGAACUUUUUGGUUGAACCGGGUCAAGAUAAUAUAUUUGGUUUGCUUGUUUAUAAUAUAAUUAGUUAAAGUAGACUAGCAAGUAUCAAGAAACGUAUUUGAGUAACUAAUAGUCCUGCAUAAAUUAAUUUGGUAAAUAUGGAUAUGCAUGUAUAAGCUCGGUUCAACUAAUAGGAUGUGAGACCUAAAUUAUUCAUAUUUAUAUUUACCAACUCAAUUGAUAUGUGAUUAUUAGUUAUUCAAAUGCGCUUCCUUAAUACACUUUAUUUUACUUGGUUAUGUUGCAAACAAACCAAUGAACUAUGCUGAGACAAAUAUUUAUCAUCAUAGCCAAAUUUUACUCAAGUUCCAUAUGUCAAGGCCAUCUCAAAUGCCAUAUAACAUAGUUGCGAGUUUGAAGUCUCCCAAAUUGUUGUAUGUUUAUACAUAUUUUAUAAUUGUUUUACAUUUUUGUGUUUUUGAAAUAUGUUGCUCUUGCAGCUGUUUUAGUUGCUAUUCGUCUAGUUGCCACUAUGCUCCAACAUCAAUUUGUUUUUGAAAUAUUUUGUUGGCUUUUGAUUCUCAAUUGGCAAUUGCUGAUGAAGUUGUUCAAUCUUUUGCUCUCUUUUUCUUUUUGUUUCUUAGCUAGUAAGUCUUAUUAAUUUGAUCUAGCUAAUAAUUGCAGGUUGUUUGGUUUCCAGAAUGCUUCCAGGUAAUAUCAUUCUGCUUUUGUUUUGCUAGGCUGAAUGAGGGUAUGUUUAGUUCCUUAACAUGAUUGUGACGUGUGAGUGCAAAUGAUAUAUCUGAUAAACAUAAGCAUGAAGCUGGAAGAGCCUAAGUAAAAUAAAUAAGGCCAGUUAUUAUUUUGGGAACCCUACUGCAUUCAACAUAUCUGUUUAUUUUCACACAUCAUAAUUAAUUUAAAGCACAUAUUUUCAGUCAUUACUACUUUUCCAUAAAAUGCAUGAUUAUAAAUGUGGGUGAUAUAAUCUUCAAAUGCUGUUGUAGCUAAUAAUGUGAUGCUCAAAUCCUUAUGAAACCCUUGUUUUUGAUGCUUACCUUUUUUUCUUUUAAUAAUUGUGAACUUACUGUCAAAUGUUUCUGGAGCCUCAUGCUAAUUGUUUUCUUUGUCUGUAAUAAAUGUAAUUAUAGUGCCCAUGACAAUGCCUUUAAAAAUGAAGUUCUGGCGCUGACUUUUAUGAUGUAUUUUCUUUGAUAUUUUCUUGUGAUAAAAACUAUCACCUGUAAAAUUGCCAGUUAAUUAUGCGUGUUAUAUGUAGUGCUAUUGCUGCAUUAUUAUAUUUGUUAUCAUGUUAAGACAUAAAUAAAAUUUAUAUAUAGAUAAGGAAUUGUUCAAUUUAUAUACAUGUUGCAUGAGAUUUCAAGCAAUUUCCUUUGAUACUUCACAACCCUUGUUUUUAUUUUUAUCUUAUGUCACCCAUGUGGCAUGUUCGUAUGUUUUAAUCUGGGUUGCAAUAUACAUAUAUGAUUGUUUUUUGCAUUUACUUUUUUUAUAAAAUCUCUUUUAUAC